rnacentral:rRNA from 1 species
UACGGGGGGAGCAAGCGUUGUUCGGAUUUACUGGGCGUAAAGGGCGCGUAGGCGGUCAGCACAAGUCAGUUGUGAAAUCUCCGAGCUUAACUCGGAAAGGUCAACUGAUACUGUGCGACUAGAGUGCAGAAGGGGGCAACUGGAAUUCUUGGUGUAGCGGUGAAAUGCGUAGAUAUCAAGAGGAACACCUGCGGCGAAGGCGGGUUGCUGGGCUGACACUGACGCUGAAGCGCGAAAGCCAGGGGAGCGAACGGG